UACGGGGGGGGCAAGCGUUGUUCGGAAUUACUGGGCGUAAAGGGCUCGUAGGUGGCCAACUAAGUCAGACGUGAAAUCCCUCAGCUUAACCGGGGAACUGCGUCUGAUACUGGAUGGCUUGAGGUUGGGAGAGGGAUGCGGAAUUCCAGGUGUAGCGGUGAAAUGCGUAGAUAUCUGGAGGAACACCGGUGGCGAAGGCGGCAUCCUGGACCAAUUCUGACACUGAGGAGCGAAAGCCAGGGGAGCAAACGGG
rnacentral:rRNA from 1 species